rnacentral:rRNA from 1 species
UACGGGGGGAGCAAGCGUUGUUCGGAUUUACUGGGCGUAAAGGGCGCGUAGGCGGCGCAACAAGUCACUUGUGAAAUCUCCGGGCUUAACCCGGAGCGGUCAAGUGAUACUGUCGUGCUAGAGUGCGGAAGGGGCUACUGGAAUUCUCGGUGUGAAGCGGUGAAAUGCGUAGAUAUCGAGAGGGAACACCUGGCGGCGAAGGCGGGUUGCUGGGGCUGACA